CAGACCUCUAAUCGGAAAAGACUACCCGCUGANUUUAAG
rnacentral:rRNA from 1 species